UUGAUAGUGCAGCCCUAAGUAGGUGGUAAACUCCAUCUAAGGCUAAAUAUGACCACGAGACCGAUAGAAAACAAGUACCGUGAGGGAAAGUUGAAAAGGACUUUGUAGAGAGAGUUCAAGAGUACGUGAAACCGUUCAGGGGUAAACGGAAAAGACUUUAAGCACCGAAAGGGGAGAUUCACGCUUUCUCGCAUGAGUCGGCUCCUGCUCGGCCAGAUGGCGCCGUUCGCCCGCUCGGAGCAAUCCGUUGCGGGGUCGUUUCGGUGAUCACUCGGUCCGUGCGGGGGUUAUGCCGGCCGCGGUGAGCCGCACUUCUCCCUCAGUAGGACGUAGCGACCCGUUGGUUGGCGGUCGACGGACCCGGGUGGAGCCCGUUGCCAGGUCCUCGGACCUCGGUUGACGGACCCCGGGAUACCUGACUGAUCAACAGACGGUCUGAAACGCAGGUGUUGUACCGCCCCCCCUGGCGGCAGGGCGUCCGGGUCGGCGCAAGCUUGGUUACGUGUCAGGAUGACGGACUCCGGUCCGGCUCUUGUGCGUACCGGCUGUUGGCGUCGCAUCCUCGGACGGUGUAGUAUAACACUGGUCGGCUACGGCAGUUUAAGGUACUUAUCCGACCCGUCUUGAAACACGGACCAAGGAGUCUAACAUGUGCGCGAGUCAUUUGGUUUUCAAACCAAAAGGCGAAUGAAAAAUUGAAAAAA
rnacentral:rRNA from 1 species